UUUGAUUACAGCCACCUACUAGUUCCCCCCCAAGAGUGGAACUACUUUGAAGUAACAAGACGAGAGCGUGCACAUCCGCUCAGCCCUGUCACCAAUAUUUCAUCGGCGCCGUUCAUUUUACAGUACGUUGAUUUCACUCCCGCUGAGGUUCUUCUUCUCACAGCCUUCUUUUGGUGGCAUCCCUCCAGUCCUUGGGAAUGAACCAUGGAAGACAUAGCGACCUGUGCCUGUUGUCCCACCCACGUCGGACCCCCGAACGAUGUCGUGUUUUUGUACAAAAAAGCAGCCGUAGGUUCAGACAGCAUCUUCUACAGGAAGUGGAUCUGGACGACUGCGUGAUGCCAGCCGGAUUGUCACCGCAGUUCUGGGUGGAACCGCGGCGCCAAUCCCACAGCCCCCCCUGGCAGUGGGGAGCUUCAUUUACUGCGGGCAGCUGGGCCGAACCACAAAAAGCAAAAGCGUCUCGCAACAAAGACGUCUUCCCUGUGAAGGUCUGAAAUUGAAAAGCGUCUCACACAAGGACGUAGGACGCGUGGAGACACGCUCCUCCCCACCCGGUCAGUGUAAUGGAUGGUGAAUCUGUUGCUUACUCAUGCAUGCGGCUGACAAAUUGUGCCUCUCUGAGCGAGGCCCCGCCGCUGUGUGAUUUGUGAAAGACGGGAAGCGACAGGAUGAGUCGGCAGCUGACAAUUGAAAAAGGCCACCGAGGAUACGGACACACUAGUCUGAAAAGGUGCAUUUGAAGAAAAUGAUAUAUCUGAGGGGUUUAUAGGCCGCGUGGUGUGGAUGAGCUGCUUCUGUGCCUCGCUGUGUCUGGCGGAGAAUAUGUGAGACACAUUUUCAGCAAUGACCUUGCUGUGUAGCGGACUAGCAAACUGUUCUUCCAGUGAUUGUGAUGCUAUAUGAAUAGACACAGGAAGCUCUAAGGUGCACAGGGGCCACACAUGCGUAUAUUGUAGCCUAAAAUCUGAAUUCAUUUAACUGGGUUUGACUGUGAGGUAGCCCACAUAAUGUGCAUCGGUCCACAUUUAAAGUGUAUGAUAUGGAUCCAGUCCAGCAGUCCUGCUAACAGUAGUUUAACCCUCGCUGCUCGCAGCUUCCUCAACCUAGUAUCAUAAUAUAAUCCAUAUUCACUCAAACAGAUCUGUUAUUUCUGUCUCUGAGUUUAGUUUAUACGACAUAAAACUGCCAUAGUAGAACGCCUAUCUAAUAAAACCUACGUUGAAGUCUGUACAUACAUUAAACACAACACAACUACAUGGAAGUACUAUCAAAUUGAGGGUACCAAAAGUGCUGUAUCUCAUCCAAAAGAACAAAACGGAGGUGUCGAGUUCAGCUCAUUGUGUGGUAACAAAAUCUGUAUAUAAAGCAGGAAACUGGGUCUCCAGAUUUUUGGUAUUCUUAAGUGAGCCUAACACAAACCAACCCAUGAUUUAAAGCUGUGCACCUGCUUACAAGGUAGUAACGUUAGCUUGAGUACUAACUAAAGCCAAACCGCAAGGCGCGGAUCGUCAUCGUUAAAUGAAUACACAUGAUGUUGUGAUCACGUGAAAGUCUGUUAGGCUACGUUGUAAACGUGUUACAAAAAAACUGGUUCACUCACUUAACUAGUUAAGAAGAAAAACAGUGUUUGGUGGU
ensembl:lncRNA